rnacentral:rRNA from 1 species
GAUCAUGGCUCAGGAUGAACGCUAGCUACAGGCUUAACACAUGCAAGUCGAGGGGUAACGAGAGGAAAGCUUGCUUUCUUGUCGACGACCGGCGCACGGGUGAGUAACGCGUAUCCAACCUGCCCCCAACUAAGGAAUAACCUUGCGAAAGUAAGACUAAUACCUUAUAAUUUCCUCAGAUGUCAUCUGACGAGGAUAAAGAUUUAUCGGUUGUGGAUGGGGAUGCGUUGGAUUAGGUAGUUGGUGGGGGUAAUGGCCUACCAAGCCGACGAUCCAUAGCUGGUUUGAGAGGAUGAUCAGCCACACUGGGACUGAGACACGGCCCAGACUCCUACGGGAGGCAGCAGUGGGGAAUCUUAGACAAUGGGCGCAAGCCUGAUCUAGCCAUGCCGCGUGAUCGAUGAAGGCCUUAGGGUUGUAAAGAUCUUCAGUGGGGAAGAUAAUGACUGUACCCACAGAAGAAGCCCCGGCUAACUCCGUG